CCUUGUACACACCGCCCGUCACACCAUGGGAGUUGGUUCUACCCGAAGGUAGUGCGCUAACCGCAAGGAGGCAGCUAACCACGGUAGGGUCAGCGACUGGGUG
rnacentral:rRNA from 1 species